UCGCGCGUGGCUGGGCGAGCGCACGCUUUCCGCGUGCGUCGAAGAGGCGCUUGCGGGCGGUGCGACGUUCGUGCAGCUGCGCGAGAA
rnacentral:tRNA from 1 species